AGAGUUUGAUCCUGGCUCAGGAUAAACGCUGGCGGCGCACAUAAGACAUGCAAGUCGAACGGACGAAAUUCAUUCUUAACGAUUGGAUCAAGUUAGUGGCGGACUGGUGAGUAACACGUAAGUGACCUGCCUAUAAGAGGGGAAUAACAGUGAGAAAUCAUUGCUAAUACCGCAUAAGCUCACGCUAGUGCAUGCUAAAGUGAGAAAAGGAGUAAUCCGCUUAUAGAUGGGCUUGCGGCUGAUUAGCUAGUUGGUGAGGUAAAAGCUUACCAAGGCGACGAUCAGUAGCCGGACUGAGAGGUUGAACGGCCACAUUGGGACUGAGAUACGGCCCAGACUCCUACGGGAGGCAGCAGUCGGGAAUAUUGCGCAAUGGAGGGAACUCUGACGCAGUGACGCCGCGUAUAGGAAGAAGUUUUUCGGAAUGUAAACUAUUGUCAUUAGGGAAGAAAAAAGACGGUACCUAAGGAGGAAGCCCCGGCUAACUAUGUGCCAGCAGCCGCGGUAAUACAUAGGGGGCGAGCGUUAUCCGGAAUUAUUGGGUGUAAAGGGUGCGUAGACGGGAAAUUAAGUUAGUUGUGAAAUACCCAGGCUCAACUUGGGAACUGCAACUAAAACUGAUAUUCUUGAGUACUGGAGAGGAAAGUGGAAUUCCUAGUGUAGCGGUGAAAUGCGUAGAUAUUAGGAGGAACACCAGUGGCGAAGGCGACUUUCUGGACAGAAACUGACGUUGAGGCACGAAAGCGUGGGGAGCAAACAGGAUUAGAUACCCUGGUAGUCCACGCUGUAAACGAUGGAUA
rnacentral:rRNA from 1 species